rnacentral:rRNA from 1 species
GAUGAACGCUGGUGGCGUGCCUAAUACAUGCAAGUCGAGCGAACGGACGAGAAGCUUGCUUCUCUGAUGUUAGCGGCGGACGGGUGAGUAACACGUGGAUAACCUACCUAUAAGACUGGGAUAACUUCGGGAAACCGUAGCUAAUACCGGAUAAUAUUUUGAACCGCAUGGUUCAGAAGUGAAAGACGGUCUUGCUGUCACUUAUAGAUGGAUCCGCGCUGCAUUAGCUAGUUGGUAAGGUAACGGCUUACCAAGGCAACGAUGCAUAGCCGACCUGAGAGGGUGAUCGGCCACACUGGAACUGAGACACGGUCCAGACUCCUACGUGAGGCAGCAGUAGGGAAUCUUCCGCAAUGGGCGAAAGCCUGACGGAGCAACGCCGCGUGAGUGAUGAAGGUCUUCGGAUCGUAAAACUCUGUUAUUAGGGAAGAACAUAUGUGUAAGUAACUGUGCACAUCUUGACGGUACCUAAUCAGAAAGCCACGGCUAACUACGUG